rnacentral:lncRNA from 1 species
UUUUUUCCGGUCAUUUUUAAUAGAGGACAAGGCGCCUGGCGUCUUCUCCUACGUGGAGUUCCUUGUGCAUGUCCACAGGCAAAUCCAAAGCAAGAUGACCUGAGUCCUGAGGAUCCAGGCAAAAUCCAAAGCAAGAUGACCUGAGGGCCCAGAUCCUGGUUGUAACAUUUCGGUCAGUAGAUGGAUUGUAGGUACCAAAAGGAGUUUGAUUUCUGCAUAAGGAGACAGCAAAGUGGCGAU